rnacentral:rRNA from 1 species
CCCUUAGAGUUUGAUCCUGGCUCAGGAUGAACGCUGGCGGCGUGCCUAACACAUGCAAGUCGAGCGAUUCUCUUCGGAGAAGAGCGGCGGACGGGUGAGUAACGCGUGGGUAACCUGCCCUGUACACACGGAUAACAUAUCGAAAGGUAUGCUAAUACGAGAUAAUAUGCUUUUAUCGCAUGGUAGAAGUAUCAAAGCUUUUGCGGUACAGGAUGGACCCGCGUCUGAUUAGCUAGUUGGUAAGGUAACGGCUUACCAAGGCGACGAUCAGUAGCCGACCUGAGAGGGUGAUCGGCCACAUUGGAACUGAGACACGGUCCAAACUCCUACGGGAGGCAGCAGUGGGGAAUAUUGCACAAUGGGCGAAAGCCUGAUGCAGCAACGCCGCGUGAGCGAUGAAGGCCUUCGGGUCGUAAGCUCUGUCCUCAAGGAAGAUAAUGACGGUACUUGAGGAGGAAGCCCCGGCUAACUACGUGCCAGCAGCCGCGGUAAUACGUAGGGGGCUAGCGUUAUCCGGAAUUACUGGGCGUAAAGGGUGCGUAGGUGGUUUCUUAAGUCAGAGGUGAAAGGCUACGGCUCAACCGUAGUAAGCCUUUGAAACUGGGAAACUUGAGUGCAGGAGAGGAGAGUGGAAUUCCUAGUGUAGCGGUGAAAUGCGUAGAUAUUAGGAGGAACACCAGUUGCGAAGGCGGCUCUCUGGACUGUAACUGACACUGAGGCACGAAAGCGUGGGGAGCAAACAGGAUUAGAUACCCUGGUAGUCCACGCCGUAAACGAUGAGUACUAGCUGUCGGAGGUUACCCCCUUCGGUGGCGCAGCUAACGCAUUAAGUACUCCGCCUGGGAAGUACGCUCGCAAGAGUGAAACUCAAAGGAAUUGACGGAAGGGCGAAUUCCA